AGCAAAACAACGCAUAACCCACAUAGCGAGGCUCAUACACCAACAAGCCAUAGAUCAGGUCAACAGGCACAUGACCAACCUAAGGACGACGAAUUAUGUUCAGGGCAACAAAGCCAGCAAACUAUUAGCACUCCGCCUAAAACUCAAGCAAACAAACCAAAAGAUUCACCAUUUACUAGACCACAAAGGGACAAAGGUCUCAACCCCAAAAGGCAUCAGUGAUGUAUUUG